rnacentral:rRNA from 1 species
AUUGAACGCUGGCGGCAUGCUUUACACAUGCAAGUCGAACGGCAGCGCGGGCUUCGGCCUGGCGGCGAGUGGCGAACGGGUGAGUAAUACAUCGGAACGUGCCCAGUAGUGGGGGAUAGCUCGGCGAAAGCCGGAUUAAUACCGCAUACGACCUGAGGGUGAAAGCGGGGGAUCUUCGGACCUCGCGCUAUUGGAGCGGCCGAUGGCAGAUUAGCUAGUUGGUGGGGUAAAGGCCUACCAAGGCGACGAUCUGUAGCUGGUCUGAGAGGACGACCAGCCACACUGGGACUGAGACACGGCCCAGACUCCUACGGGAGGCAGCAGUGGGGAAUUUUGGACAAUGGGCGAAAGCCUGAUCCAGCAAUGCCGCGUGUGUGAUGAAGGCCUUCGGGUUGUAAAGCACUUUUGGCGGGAACGAAAAGGACUGUGCCAAUACCACGGUUCGAGGACGGUACCCGCAGAAUAAGCACCGGCUAACUACGUG